UCUUACGGGUUCUUGUGCAAAUCUGCAUCUGCUUGUGAUUAUACUUUCUGUGGGUUUUUUAUCAUCAUCAUAGAGAUAUCUAUUUAAAAUGAGAUAUGAUUUCAACAUGAAAUAACUAGGAAAUCAGUUUCUAGGAAAGAAUAAUAAGAUAUCUGUCCCGACGACCUUUAAAGAAUGAAGGCUUAUCUUUUAGACCCGAACCAACCAUUCCCCUCACAGAAAGCAUGGCAACUAACAGAAUUCGAACGAAAAGUCGGAAGCCCACUUACCUCGCGGGUCCUUUGAAGUUAGGUCCAUUCUACCUGCCUCGACAUAAUAUGAAUCUUACGAGAUCCCGGCAGAACCCAUGAUUCGACCGGGAAUUCUGGGAAGAGAGGGAUCCAUCCCCAUCCUCCCUUAUUUUGAUGCCCUCCCCCCUUCUUUAAGGAUUCCGGAUGGAAAGGAUGCGGAUAGAGCGCCCAAAGUGACACCUAGUGGCAAAGCGGAGAGUUAAGAAAGAUGACGCCAUGUGUUUUGCUGAUUCUAUGCCCGUCUUAACGUUGUGAAUUUCUUUUUGUGAGCUUCAUGAACUCGUUGCUGUUUCAUUAUAA